CAUCAUGUAUGUGUCCACCUUGUCUUUAUCUACCAUCCUGUAUGUGUCCACCAUGUCUCUAUCUACCGUACUGUAUGUGCCCACCAUGUCUUUAUCUGCCGUCCUGUAUGUGUUCACCAUGUCUCUAUCUACCAUCCUGUUUGUGUCCAACAUGUCUCUAUCUACCAUCCUGUUUGUGUCCACCAUGUCUCUAUCUACCAUCCUGUUUGUGUCCACCAUGUCUCUAUCUACUGUCCUGUAUGUGUCCACCCUGUUCUCUAUCUGCUGUCCUGUAUGUGUCCACCCUGUUCUGUAAUAACUGUCCUGUAUGUGUCCACCAUGUCUCUAUCUACCAUCCUGUUUGUGUCCACCAUGUUCUCUAUCUGCUGUCCUGUAUGUGUCCACCAUGUCUCUAUCUACCGUCCUGCAUGUGUCCACCAUGUCUUUAUCUGCCGUCCUGUAUGUGUUCACCAUGUCUCUAUCUACCAUCCUGUUUGUGUCCACCAUGUCUCUAUCUACCAUCCUGUUUGUGUCCACCAUGUCUCUAUCUACCGUCCUGUUUGUGUCCACCAUGUCUCUAUCUACCGUCCUGUAUGUGUUCACCAUGUCUCUAUCUACAUUCCUGUUUGUGUCCACCAUGUCUCUAUCUACUGUCCUGUAUGUGUCCACCCUGUUCUCUAUCUGCUGUCCUGUAUGUGUCCACCCUGUUCUGUAAUAACUGUCCUGUAUGUGUCCACCAUGUCUCUAUCUACCAUCCUGUUUGUGUCCACCAUGUUCUCUAUCUGCCAUCCUGUAUGUGUCCACCAUGUCUCUAUCUACCAUCCUGUAUGUGUCCACCCUGUUCUCUAUCUGCCGUCCUGUUUGUGUCCACCCUGUUCUGUAUCUACUGUCUUGUAUGUGUCCACCAUGUCUCUAUCUACUGUCCUGUUUGUGUCCACCAUGUCUCUAUCUACUGUCCUGUAUGUGUCCACCAUGUCUCUAUCUACCGUCCUGUAUGUGUCCACCAUGUCUUUAUCUACCAUCCUGUAUGUGUCCACCAUGUCUCUAUCUACCGUCCUGUAUGUGUCCACCAUAUCUUUAUCUACGGUCCUGUAUGUGUCCACCAUGUCUCUAUUUACUGUCCUGUUUGUGUCCACCAUGUCUCUAUCUCUAUCUGCCAUGCUGUAUGUGUCCACCAUGUCUCUAUCUGCUGUCCUGUAUGUGGCCACCCUGUUCUCUAUCUACCAUCCUGUUUGUGUCCACUCUGUUCUCUAUCUGCUGUCCUGUAUGUGUCCACCAUGUCUCUAUCUACUGUCCUGCAUGUGUCCACCAUGUCUCUAUCUGCCAUCCUGUAUGUGUCCACCCUGUUCUCUAUCUGCCGUCCUGCAUGUGUCCACCCUGUUCUGUAAUAACUGUCCUGCAUGUGUCCACCAUGUCUCUAUCUGCCAUCCUGUAUGUGUCCACCAUGUCUCUAUCUACCGUCCUGUAUGUGUCCACCCUGUUCUCUAUCUGCCGUCCUGUAUGUGUCCACCCUGUUCUGUAUCUACCGUCCUGUAUGUGUCCACCAUGUCUCUAUCUACCAUCCUGUUUGUGUCCAUCAUGUCUCUAUCUACCAUCCUGUUUGUGUCCACCAUGUCUCUAUCUCCAUUCUUGUAUGUGUCUGCCAUGUCUCUAUCUACCAUCCUGUAUGUGUCCACCAUGUCUCUAUCUACCGUCCUGUAUGUGUCCACCAUGUAUUUAUCUACCGUCCUGUUUGUGUCCACCUUGUCUUUAUCUACCGUCCUGUAUGUGUCCACCAUGUCUCUGUCUACCGUCCUGUAUGUGUCCACCAUGUCUCUAUCUACCGUCCUGUAUGUGUCCACCAUGUCUCUAUCUACACAUCUGUUUGUGUCCACCCUGUUCUCUAUCUACCAUCCUGUAUGUGUCCACCAUGUCUCUAUUUACUGUCCUGUUUGUGUCCACCAUGUCUCUAUCUCUAUCUGCCAUCCUGUAUGUGUCCACCAUGUCUCUAUCUGCUGUCCUGUAUGUGGCCACCCUGUUUUCUAUCUACCAUCCUGUUUGUGUCCACUCUGUUCUCUAUCUGCUGUCCAGUAUGUGUCCACCAUGUCUCUAUCUACUGUCCUGCAUGUGUCCUCCAUGUCUCUAUCUGCCAUCCUGUAUGUGUCCACCCUGUUCUCUAUCUGCCGUCCUGUAUGUGUCCACCCUGUUCUGUAUCUACUGUCCUGUUUGUGUCCACCAUGUCUCUAUCUGCUGUCCUGUAUGUGUCCACCCUGUUCUGUAAUAACUGUCCUGUAUGUGUCCACCAUGUCUCUAUCUACCAUCCUGUUUGUGUCCACCAUGUCUCUAUCUACCAUCCUGUUUGUGUCCAACCUUUUCUCUAUCUGCUGUCCUGUAUGUGUCCACCAUGUCUCUAUCUACCAUCCUGCAUGUGUCCACCAUGUCUCUAUCUGCCAUCCUGUAUGUGUCCACCAUGUCUCUAUCUACCGUCCUGUAUGUGUCCACCCUGUUCUCUAUCUGCCGUCCUGUAUGUGUCCACCCUGUUCUGUAUCUACCGUCCUGUAUGUGUCCACCAUGUCUCUAUCUACCAUCCUGUUUGUGUCCAUCAUGUCUCUAUCUACCAUCCUGUUUGUGUCCACCAUGUCUCUAUCUGCCAUCCUGUAUGUGUCCACCAUGUCUCUAUCUACCGUCCUGUAUGUGUUCACCAUGUCUCUAUCUACCAUCCUGUUUGUGUCCAUCAUGUCUCUAUCUACCAUCCUGUUUGUGUCCACCAUGUCUCUAUCUGCCAUCCUGUAUGUGUCCACCAUGUCUCUAUCUACCAUCCUGUUUGUGUCCACCAUGUCUCUAUCUGCCAUCCUGUAUGUGUC
ensembl:lncRNA